UGGGGAAUAUUGGACAAUGGGCGAAAGCCUGAUCCAGCCAUGCCGCGUGUGUGAAGAAGGUCUUCGGAUUGUAAAGCACUUUAAGUUGGGAGGAAGGGCAUUAACCUAAUACGUUAGUGUUUUGACGUUACCGACAGAAUAAGCACCGGCUAACUCUGUGCCAGCAGCCGCGGUAAUACAGAGGGUGCAAGCGUUAAUCGGAAUUACUGGGCGUAAAGCGCGCGUAGGUGGGUUGUUAAGUUGGAUGUGAAAUCCCCGGGCUCAACCUUGGAACUGCAUUCAAAACUGACUGACUAGAGUAUGGUAGAGGGUGGUGGAAUUUCCUGUGUAGCGGUGAAAUGCGUAGAUAUAGGAAGGAACACCAGUGGCGAAGGCGACCACCUGGACUAAUACUGACACUGAGGUGCGAAAGCGUGGGGAGCAAACA
rnacentral:rRNA from 1 species